AUUGAACGCUGGCGGCAGGCCUAACACAUGCAAGUCGAGCGGAGCGGCGGACGGGCGAGUAAUGCCUAGGAAUCUGCCUGGUAGUGGUGGAUAAAGUCCGGAAACGGGCGCUAAUACCGCAUACUAUCAGAUGAGCCUAGGUCGGAUUAGCUCGUUGGUGGGGUAAAGGCCUACAAAGGCGACGAUCCGUAACUGGGCUGAGAGGAUGAUCAGUCACACUGGAACUAAGACACGGUCCAGACUCCUACGGGAGGCAGGAGUGGGGAAUAUUGGACAAUGGGCGAAAGCCUGAUCCAGCCAUGCCGGUUGUGUGAAGAAGGUCUUCGGAUUGUAAAGCACGUUAAGUUGGGAGGCGUUACCAACAGAAUAAGCACCGGCUAACUUCGUGCCAGCAGCCGCGGUAAUUC
rnacentral:rRNA from 1 species